AACGAACGCUGGCGGCAGGCUUAACACAUGCAAGUCGAGCGCUCCGCAAGGGGAGCGGCAGACGGGUGAGUAACGCGUGGGAACGUGCCCUUUGCUACGGAAUAGCUCCGGGAAACUGGAAUUAAUACCGUAUGAGCCCUUAGGGGGAAAGAUUUAUCGGCAAAGGAUCGGCCCGCGUUGGAUUAGCUAGUUGGUGGAGUAAAGGCCUACCAAGGCGACGAUCCAUAGCUGGUCUGAGAGGAUGAUCAGCCACAUUGGGACUGAGACACGGCCCAAACUCCUACGGGAGGCAGCAGUGGGGAAUAUUGGACAAUGGGCGCAAGCCUGAUCCAGCCAUGCCGCGUGAGUGAUGAAGGCCUUAGGGUUGUAAAGCUCUUUCACCGGAGAAGAUAAUGACGGUAUCCGGAGAAGAAGCCCCGGCUAACUACGUGCCAGCAGCCGCCGUAAGAC
rnacentral:rRNA from 1 species